UUAACAAACUCUACCUGGCAAGAGGACACACUUGUGGUGUAAUUGCAAACCAAAUACAUGUAUAUAUUAGAAACAAGUUUCAUGUGUUUUCACACAAUACAAAAAUGAAUUCAAUGGAAUUUACUGAUACAAAAAAAGCAAUCAGUAAAUCUGAUUUUAAUAUAAAAUAGGUACAAUUUUGGUUUUUUUUGCGCGAAAACCACCCAAAAUUGAUAAUUGAUAUUGCGCAAUAGUGGAGGUCGGAUAACGCAAGUUGACCUUUCAAGAUCAAGAUCAAGACAAGAUGAAGACUCCGAAGUGUAAGAGAAGACCUAACCCGUUCUCUUGCAGAGUCCCACCCCUCUUACCACCCCUUCCCCUCCAAGAUGCUCUACGAUCUUGUUGAUGUUGUCCUUACAAUACUUUCAAGGUGACUUAGUGUUUCUUGGCAUUUCUUGAGAUGCAUAUUGGUCGAAGCCAAUGAUGCUUUUAAUUAGGAGACUAGUCUUACUGGAAAUUUCAUUGCGGGUUGAUACUUCAAGUCAUCAGUUGUCAUUUUUACUUAAAAUUGUCAUAACUUUAUACUUCAAAUACUAGUAAUGUUUAAAAGUAAAAAGUACAAGGUCAAACUAAAUAAUAUAAUAAUCUUCUGAAAAGAUGAUAUAUAUUUGUAAUGGGAUGAAAUUGGGUACCCUUUCUUUUUUCUUUCUUUUUUUCAUGAAAAAAAAUAAACAGAAAAGGGGGCUUGCAAUUUCAUUCCAUUACAUAUUUUAGAGGGAAAUAAAGCCAAAAAAUAAAACAUUAAAACAAAAUUUUGAACUGCAGCUGUUCUUUGUACUGUAGGCACAAAACCCACAACCAUAAAAAGCAAAAUAUUCCAGUCCUACAUUCAAUUGAUGUUUAAUGUUCGAUUUAGGAACAUUAAAUAGAAAAGUUAAUAUUUAAACAUUAAGUUACUAUUUACAUCUUCCUAAUAUCAGCAUUACAUCAAUUCUGAAUGUAAACACUUUCAACGGAGCAUCUGAGGAACAUCAAAUCUUUACAAAUUAAAAAGAAUUUACAAGAAAAAUAAUUAAACCGCGACGCUUUAUUUAAUAAAAGAAACCUCUCGUAGCAAACUUCCCUACAAAAUUUGUGAGCGCUGCGAGAAAAACCGAAAGAAAAAUCACCAGCUGAAGAAGAAAGAAAACCAUGAGAACAAAGAGAGCAUGAAGGAGAGAAAACAAAGCAGGAUCACGCAAGAUGUCAGUGAAGCAUGGGUAGUGGGUACGUAUGAAUGGUAAGACAGUAUAGGCCUAGAGUAUUAUAGUGUUGGCCUAGAGAUAAGACUAUAACGCUCUAAUUCAGGAGUGACUGAAGGCUAGUGAGGUUCGGUGUUUGCAGCAAAGGUUGCCAGCAAAGGUCGAGCGUCAGGUUAAGUAUAGGGUGAGUUUGAAAGAAACUUAACCUUUCCUCCACAGCUCUAACCUGGGGUGCGUUUUUGCGGUUGUAACCAAUAACUGUCUCAGUUGAGUUGCGCAUUGGUUAAUCACUUGCCAAUGCCUGAAACGAUAAUUGAUUAUAACCGCUGAAAUGCUCCUCUUUUUUUCCCCACAGCAGCUAACUUGGCUACAAAGGCUACUAUCUUUGUUUGCUUUGCAGUUUGAAAUCUGUUCUUCCCAAAGUGGAUGUUCUUGCAGGUGAUUAUGAAUUUAAUGCAGAAACUCGGUGAACUGAGGUCAGCGGGUUAAUGAGGUCAAUACUUUGCACCAAAGAUAUUGGUAUUGUAAAGCAGAGUAGUUUGCAUGCUGAAAUCUUCACUGAGCUGAGCUGAUAUGCCAACACGACUGAGGUCAUGCAACAUUUGGCGUAUGGUUUGGUCUUCUUGAAGAUGUUGGAGUAGUCUGGUUGCUGAAAUCUGAGCUGAGGUGAUGCCUAACGACAGGAACUGAGGUCAUGCAAGAUUUGGUUCACAGCAGUCACUUGUGAAGUUGUUACUUAUAUCGGACCUGGUUGGAUGAGCAUUGUUGGAAGGUACAGGGAGUGGUGACUGUAACUGGACCUGUUUGGAUGAUCAUUG